rnacentral:rRNA from 1 species
UUUUAUGAGAGUUUGAUCCUGGCUCAGGACGAACGCUGGCGGCGUGCCUAAUACAUGCAAGUCGAACGCUUCUUUUUCCACCGGAGUUUGCUCCACCGGAAAAAGAGGAGUGGCGAACGGGUGAGUAACACGUGGGUAACCUGCCCAUCAGAAGGGGAUAACACUUGGAAACAGGUGCUAAUACCGUAUAACAAUCGAAACCGCAUGGUUUUGAUUUGAAAGGCGCUUUCGGGUGUCGCUGAUGGAUGGACCCGCGGUGCAUUAGCUAGUUGGUGAGGUAACGGCUCACCAAGGCGACGAUGCAUAGCCGACCUGAGAGGGUGAUCGGCCACAUUGGGACUGAGACACGGCCCAAACUCCUACGGGAGGCAGCAGUAGGGAAUCUUCGGCAAUGGACGAAAGUCUGACCGAGCAACGCCGCGUGAGUGAAGAAGGUUUUCGGAUCGUAAAACUCUGUUGUUAGAGAAGAACAAGGAUGAGAGUAACUGUUCAUCCCUUGACGGUAUCUAACCAGAAAGCCACGGCUAACUACGUGCCAGCAGCCGCGGUAAUACGUAGGUGGCAAGCGUUGUCCGGAUUUAUUGGGCGUAAAGCGAGCGCAGGCGGUUUCUUAAGUCUGAUGUGAAAGCCCCCGGCUCAACCGGGGAGGGUCAUUGGAAACUGGGAGACUUGAGUGCAGAAGAGGAGAGUGGAAUUCCAUGUGUAGCGGUGAAAUGCGUAGAUAUAUGGAGGAACACCAGUGGCGAAGGCGGCUCUCUGGUCUGUAACUGACGCUGAGGCUCGAAAGCGUGGGGAGCAAACAGGAUUAGAUACCCUGGUAGUCCACGCCGUAAACGAUGAGUGCUAAGUGUUGGAGGGUUUCCGCCCUUCAGUGCUGCAGCUAACGCAUUAAGCACUCCGCCUGGGGAGUACGACCGCAAGGUUGAAACUCAAAGGAAUUGACGGGGGCCCGCACAAGCGGUGGAGCAUGUGGUUUAAUUCGAAGCAACGCGAAGAACCUUACCAGGUCUUGACAUCCUUUGACCACUCUAGAGAUAGAGCUUCCCCUUCGGGGGCAAAGUGACAGGUGGUGCAUGGUUGUCGUCAGCUCGUGUCGUGAGAUGUUGGGUUAAGUCCCGCAACGAGCGCAACCCUUAUUGUUAGUUGCCAUCAUUUAGUUGGGCACUCUAGCAAGACUGCCGGUGACAAACCGGAGGAAGGUGGGGAUGACGUCAAAUCAUCAUGCCCCUUAUGACCUGGGCUACACACGUGCUACAAUGGGAAGUACAACGAGUCGCAAAGUCGCGAGGCUAAGCUAAUCUCUUAAAGCUUCUCUCAGUUCGGAUUGUAGGCUGCAACUCGCCUACAUGAAGCCGGAAUCGCUAGUAAUCGCGGAUCAGCACGCCGCGGUGAAUACGUUCCCGGGCCUUGUACACACCGCCCGUCACACCACGAGAGUUUGUAACACCCGAAGUCGGUGAGGUAACCUUUUGGAGCCAGCCGCCUAAGGUGGGAUAGAUGAUUGGGGUGAAGUCGUAACAAGGUAGCCGUAUCGGAAGGUGCGGCUGGAUCACCUCCUUUCUAAGGAA